GAUAGCUCAGUUGGCUAGAGCAUGGUGCUGUUAAGGCCACGGUUGCAGGUUCGAUUCCUGGAUGGGACA